rnacentral:rRNA from 1 species
AGUGAACGCUGGCGGUAGGCCUAACACAUGCAAGUCGAACGGCAGCACAGUAAGAGCUUUCUCUUACGGGUGGCGAGUGGCGGACGGGUGAGGCAUACAUCGGAAUCUACUUUUUCGUGGGGGAUAACGUAGGGAAACUUACGCUAAUACCGCAUACGUCCUACGGGUGAAAGCAGUGGAUCUUCGGACCUUUCGCGAUUGAAUGAGCCGAUGUCGGAUUAGCUAGUUGGCGGGGUAAAGGCCCACCAAGGCGACGAUCCGUAGCUGAUCUGAGAGGAUGAUCAGCCACACUGGAACUGAGACACGGUCCAGACUCCUACGGGAGGCAGCAGUGGGGAAUAUUGGACAAUGGGCGAAAGCCUGACCGAGCAAUACCGCGUGGGUGAAGAAGGCCUUCGGAUUGUAAAGCUCUGUUGUUAGGGAAGAAAAAAAGUAGGUGAAAACACGGAUGUUUUGACGGUACCCAAAGAAAAAGCAACGGCUAACUACGUG